AGGCCCCGGGGCGGGCGCUGGACUCCCUCCGGCAUCGCCCGAGGGCCUCUCCGGCCGGGCACCCGAUGCCCCGCCGCGCGCAUUCCCACAGACUUCUGUCCGCUUCCCGGCUUCUCCCGGUUUAUUCCCGGCGGCCGCUGCCGCCUCGGGACACACAUUUACGCAGCAACACGCAAACCCAUUCUGGCGACUCCGGGGGACCUGAGGAACCGGCGCGGAGAGAGGAGAAAACUGAAGAUCAGAGAGGUUAGGUGAUUUGCCCAAGGUUUCACAGCUGGCAUACACAGAGGAAGAUCAUGUGAAGGCACAGAGAGAAGAUGGCCAUCUACAAGCCAACGAGAGAGACCUCGGAAGAAACCAACCCUGCUGACACCUUGAUCUCAGACUUCUAGCUUCCGGAUUUGUGGAAAAAUAAAUUUCUAUUGUUUAAGUCUGUGAUACUUUGUUAUGUCAGCCCUAGCAAAGAACUAAUACACUUAAAUAUGGUCCACUUAAAGUGAUGGCAAAAAU